rnacentral:tRNA from 1 species
CGGGAUGUAGCGCAGCCCGGUAGCGCGCUUCGUUCGGGACGAAGAGGUCGCGAGUUCGAAUCUCGCCAUCCCGACAA